rnacentral:lncRNA from 11 species
GAUACGCAGUCUCUUUUUCCGUGCUUUUGAAAGGCUUGUCUUGCCAAAUUUGGGUAUUUCUCUCCCUUUGCAGCCUGUUUCGUUGCCCAACGAUGGAGAGGAAUCCCGGCUCCCUGUAAAAAGGGGCGUUUCGGCACCCGCAGCCCCCGAAAUCAAGCAGCAAAUCCAGCAACUGGAAUCGGAGCUGAGGAAGAAGCGGAAGCAAUGCGAGACCCUCGAGCAUGAAGUGAGGAAGAAGCACAAGAGAUACGCCGAACUCGUGAGUCUCGCCUUGCCUUGCUUCUCCACUCCAGCUGGGAGUUGGCACUUGAGUGAUGACUCCCUUUCACCUUUUUAUUGUACAGGAAACCCAGCUUCAGGAGGUGGCGAGUGAGAAUGUCCGCCUGUCGGAAGAGAACGCUCAGCUCCAGGGGCAAGUUGAGUGGAUAGAGAAGGUUGAGUCCGAAAAUGCCGACCUGAGGCUCCGGGUGUCGGAAGUGACCGAGGAACGGGAUUCGGCUCUCCAGAAAACCCAAGAACUUGAACACAGGCUGGAGAGUCUUGGGCAAGCCCUCCAGCACAUGAGAGAUGUCGCGGAACGGAGGCAACAGCUGGAGCACGACCACGAGAAAGCCCUGCUGGCUUUGCAGAAGAAGAAAGAGGAGGUCAAGGAGCUCCAGCAGGCUCAAGCCGAGGCCCGGAAGGAGCACGAAGGAGCCGUCCAACUCCUCGAGGGCUCCUUGGAUUGUAUGCAGGCCCGGGUUCAAGAGCUGGAGAACCAAUGCCAGAACCACACUGAGCAGUUCAACUUCCUCCGGAACCACACUGAGCAGUUCAACUUCCUCUGCCAGGAGCUCAAGCGAUUCCGGCUCCAGACGGGGAAAAUCGGGCACCCGCCUCACGCUUCCUCUCCCUCGACCGCCAUGGUGAUGUCGGAGGUCACCUUGGCCUCCUGCCCUCCGUCUCCUUCUCCAACUCAACACCCGGACCAUGGCCUCAAGGACAAAGGUGAGUAGAAGAGGAGUAGGGACUCCCACGAAUCCACUCAAGAGGGUGAGCUUGAAAGGAGC